rnacentral:rRNA from 1 species
UACGGAGGGGGCUAGCGUUGUUCGGAAUUACUGGGCGUAAAGCGCGCGUAGGCGGUUCGGCAAGUCGGAUGUGAAAUCUUCACGCUCAACGUGGAGGGGGCCAUUCGAAACUGCCGUGACUCGAGUCCGGUAGGGGAGUGUGGAAUUCCCGGUGUAGCGGUGAAAUGCGCAGAUAUCGGGAGGAACACCAAUGGCGAAGGCAGCUCGCUGGGACGUGACUGACGCUGAGACGCGAAAGCGUGGGGAGCAAACAGG